rnacentral:rRNA from 1 species
UUGGAGGGCAAGUCUGGUGCCAGCAGCCGCGGUAAUUCCAGCUCCAAUAGCGUAUAUUAAAGUUGUUGCAGUUAAAAAGCUCGUAGUUGAACCUCGGGGUCUACCCAUUGGUCAGGCUUAAUUGUCUGCACUGGUGAGAUGGAUCUCUACCUUCUGAGGAACUUUCAUGCCAUUUAUUUGGUGUGAUGGGAAAUCAGGACUGUUACUUUGAAAAAAUUAGAGUGUUUAAAGCAGACUAUCGUCUGAAUACAUUAGCAUGGAAUAAUGAAAUAGGACGGACUGAUUCUAUUUCGUUGGUUUCUAGGAUCACCGUAAUGAUUAAUAGGGAUAGUUGGGGGCAUUAGUAUUCAAUUGUCAGAGGUGAAAUUCUUGGAUUUAUUGAAGACUAACUACUGCGAAAGCAUUUGCCAAGGAUGUUUUCAUUAAUCAAGAACGAAAGUUAGGGGAUCGAAGACGAUCAGAUACCGUCGUAGUCUUAACCAUAAACUAUGGCGACUAGGGAUCGGACGAAGUUAAUUUUAUAAUGACGCGUUCGGCGCCUUACGGGAAAC